GACGAACGCUGGCGGCGUGCUUAACACAUGCAAGUCGAACGGAAAGGCCCUGCUUUUUUGGGUUGCUCGAGUGGCGAACGGGUGAGUAACACUUUAGUAACCUGCCCUUGACUUUGGGAUAACUUCAGGAAACUGGGGCUAAUACCGGAUAUGAGCUCCUGCUGCAUGGUGGGGGUUGGAACGUUUCGGCGGGUGUGGAUGGACUCGCGGCUUAUGAGCCUGUUGGUGGGGUAGUGGCUUACCCAGGCUUUGACGGGUAGCCGGCCUGAGAGGGUGAACGGCGACAUUGGGACUGAGAGACGGCGCAGACUCGUACGGUGGGCAGUAGGGGGGAGUAUGGUGCAGUGGGGGGAAGCGUAAGGCGGCAACGCCGCGGGCGGGAUGAAGGCCCUGGGGUGGUAAACCGAUUAAGGCUGUGACGAAGCGUGAGUGACGUUAAUGGGUAAAGAAGCACCGGCUAACUACGUG
rnacentral:rRNA from 1 species